rnacentral:rRNA from 1 species
UACGUAGGAUGCAAGCGUUGUCCGGAUUUACUGGGCGUAAAGCGCGCGCAGGCGGCACUCUAAGUACGCUGUGAAAUAUCCCGGCUCAACCGGGAGGGUGCAGUGUAGACUAGGGAGCUAGAGGUCGGUAGAGGGGGGUGGAAUUGCUGGUGUAGCGGUGAAAUGCGUAGAGAUCAGCAGGAACACCCGUGGCGAAGGCGGCCCCCUGGGCCGUACCUGACGCUGAGGCGGCGAAAGGCUGAGGGGAGCCGA